GUACAAGAAUUUUUCACAGCUAUAAGGCAAAAUUGGACAUUUAAUAAGUGUAGGACACUUAUCAGUGAGCUACCACAGGUGUAGAUAUUGUAUGGGCUCUCGCGGAAAUUAAAGCAGAACAAGAACGAAGGUUUAUGGGUAGUGGGCAUCUUAAAAAAUAGUACACUCUUAUAUAUAAAUUUUCAUAUUGUUGUAUUUGUGAAAAUAAGACUCAUACGUAGCACGUAAUAAUUCCUUAGUGCGUUUUGACUUGCUACAGUUAGUCUUUGGAUCUCUUUCUAUAAAAUGUUCUUGUUUUCCUGUAGUCUUUCAAGGUCUCUGCUUUACAGGAAAAAAACUGGUAGUUUGUGGGAGAUGAGUGGGAAUUCUUGCUGUCCUUUGUUUCUACUUUUCAUAAUCACUUUUCAUUCUUGCUUGAUUUAUGAGGUUGCUUGUGAACAUGAUCCGCUGAUUAGAUCACAAAGGGAAGCACUGGAGAUAAUCAAUGGUGGCGGUGGCUAUACUCCUGCUCCUCCUCCUGAAAAUGAGGGUUGGCAGCCUCCUCCACCCCCUCCAGAACCCAUUUGUCCUCCACUGCCACCUCCUCCUCCUCCACCCCCUCCAAAACCCGUUUGUCCCCCACCACCCCCACCACCACCACCACCUCCUCCU
rnacentral:misc_RNA from 1 species